GACGAACGCUGGCGGCGUGCUUAACACAUGCAAGUCGAGCGGUAAGGCCCUUUCGGGGGUACACGAGCGGCGAACGGGUGAGUAACACGUGGGUGACCUGCCCUCAGCUCUGGGAUAAGCCUGGGAAACUGGGUCUAAUACUGGAUAUGACUCCACGGUGCAUGUCGUGGGGUGGAAAGCCUUGUGCGGCUGAGGAUGGGCCCGCGGCUUAUCAGCUUGUUGGUGGGGUGANGGCCUACCAAGGCGACGACGGGUAGCCGGCCUGAGAGGGCGACCGGCCACACUGGGACUGAGACACGGCCCAGACUCCUACGGGAGGCAGCAGUGGGGAAUCUUGCGCAAUGGGCGAAAGCCUGACGCAGCGACGCCGCGUGAGGGAUGACGGCCU
rnacentral:rRNA from 1 species